rnacentral:rRNA from 1 species
CACGUAGGGACCAAGCGUUGUCCGGAUUCAUUGGGCGUAAAGAGCUCGUAGGCGGUUCGAUAAGUCGGGUGUGAAACCUCCAGGCUCAACCUGGAGACGCCACCCGAUACUGUCGUGACUAGAGUCCAGUAGGGGAGCGUGGAAUUCCUGGUGUAGCGGUGAAAUGCGCAGAUAUCAGGAGGAACACCAGCGGCGAAGGCGGCGCUCUGGACUGGAACUGACGCUGAGGAGCGAAAGCGUGGGGAGCGAACAGG